AAACACUCCCCAAAACCUUCAUCCUAACAUUUUCAUUCUGCCACACCCCCUCCCCUUUCUUCCUAAAUGCACACACACCCAUGGAGAGGAGAGAGCUGAGAAGGAAAAGAAGGAGCUGUGCCCUACCGCCGUCCAAUCCAUCUUGCCACCACCGCUGUUGCGUGCUACCUGCACCGCCAUUCAUGCCCGCCGAUCCGUCACUGAGCCGCCACCGUUAUUGUUGAAAGAGAGGGACGCCGUUGAUGCUAUCAGGGAGGAAGGAAGAACUGCACGAGAGCCAGGGGAGGGGGAGCCUCUGCUGCGUCGCCACCGUGCCUCCAUCACCGCCGAACCGCUUUGCUAAUGCUAGCUCUUUUGCAUCUAGUCGGAGUCGAGGGAACCGUCACCGUCGCGGCCAUGGGCAUGGGUUUCAAAAGGAAGAGAACACGAUGAGGAGAAGAGGAGCUGUAUCCCGCUUCUGCCGCUGUCAUCGUGCUCAACCUCCGCGCCAGGUCAUCGUCGUCGUUGUGGUCAGAAGCUGCCACUGUCGUUGUUUGGGUCCGCCGUGGGGAGGAACAGCGCUGACGUCGCUGUAAAUCAGCUAUUGGAACCUCCGCUAGCUUGUCCUAUGUUGCUGUAUCGUCACUGGAGUUGCCGUUGCUUCAUCCUUUGAAUUCCUUAUGGGUCGAGUUCCGGUUAUUUCAUAUCGCGUUUAGAGUUGUCGUUGUUGCUGCGAAAGUGGAAUGCAAUUAUGGUUGUGGCUGCCACUAUUGCGGGCCAGGAUAAAGAGAGUUUUGUCACGUAGUUAAGUCGCGAUCGAGGUAAGGACGGUGGUUAAUCCCGCUUGCUCGAGAUUUACUGCAACGGCAAGGAUGGUGGUUAAUCCCGCUUUCGCAUUGACUGACUUUUUUUCAGACAAGGACAAUGAUUAAUCCCGCAUGUUUGAGUUACCCGGUAAGGACGGUUGGUUAAUCCUGCUUACUCGUAGACUAAAGUUCAGGGCAAGGACGGUUCGUGAAUCUCACUUGCUUGUGGAGCCUAUGGAUAAUGACGGUUGGUAAAUCCCACUUACCCGAGUUGGGUCUGACAACAUAACCGACGCGUGAGCUCAUGGACAGAUAUUUUGGAAGAAAUCUAGCAACAACAAGGAUGGAGAGAAGCAAGCAACCAUAGCAUUAAAGAGCAAGGCAUGAAGGGAGCAUACAGAUGACCUCUUGAACCAAGCAAAGCCAUGCGUAUAACGCAUGAAUCAUGUGUAUAACACACCAGCCAAGAAGAACCUCUAGGAGCCAAAGACAACCCCAUGCAUUCUACUUGCCUCCUCAUGCGUACAAUGCAUGAGCAAAUUGCACUUCCAGUAGCAAGCCUCACACCAUGCAUUAUACUUGAGACACCAUGCAUAUAACACAUGAAUUGGAAGCCUCACACCAUGCGUUAUAUUUGAGACAUCAUGCAUAUAAUGCAUGGUCUUGGAACACCUCCAGAGACAUCUCAUUCCUUCACUAAUCUCUCAAACUUCAAGUGAUUGCUUUGCUAGCCCAAGAUUAAGUUUCAAGUCCAUGAUUUCAACUAAGCAAGGCACCAAGUUUUGAAUUUCAAUUACAAGGAAGAUCACUAGUUAGUUAAGAGUCAUUAAGAAAAGGUUUGAUUUGAAUUAUAUUUGAUUUUAUUUUGGUUUAGUUUGAAUUUGAAUUGAAGGUUUAGGUUUUAAAUAAGUCCAAGGACUUAGUUCACGGACAAGAGAAAAGAUCACAUUUUACACAACACACCACACUUUAGAAUUUUGUUUUCAUUCCACCAUGAGGAACUAAUUUCCUUUGUUAAGGUUAGGAUCUCUGUUCAUCUUUUUAUGGAUUAUUAAUCUAAGUGUUUUGUUUUA